UUUUUUUUUUUUGUUUCUCCAAAUUUCGUGCGAUCCCUCUUUUUCCCUAGAAUUGACGACCGCAAUGUAUUGUUCUCCCUGGGGUUUCGGUCGUUGUUGAGUUUAUUGUUUCUCGAAUCAGUGUAACAGUUUCUUUAAAUUUCGGGCGUUGGUUUAAACUGGCUCUAGUUUAUGGAGGUCUACUUCGUUUUGGGAAUCUCUGAUGAGAAGUUGGAGAUUCCUUUGUUAGCAUGGUAUUGUGUAAAGUACGAGUGGUUUCUGACGCUGGUUUUGUCUUUCUGUCAUGGUUAUGUAAUGCAAAUGCUCAGAUUUUUUAUCCUCUUACCGCCAAACCCUGUUGCACAAUUUGGCAUCUUGAGAAGACUAUCCAUUUAUUUGUGAGCAAUGGUGAUUUCUGUUUUUUGGUUACGGUUUGCAAUCGGAGAUUAGUUUUAUCAGUCUUUCUGGGAGUGUCCACAGUGUUUCCACAAUGCUUAUGUUUUUUUUCCCUGUAAGGUCCACAAUGCUUAGGUUACAACCAGUAGAUGUGCUUAAAGAACUAUAAGUCGGAAUGAGUUUGGUCUUCUGGUCAAACCAGUUGUUAGGGACACCAUCGAUAUGGUGCUCCUAUGUGAGCUUGGAUCGUGAGAGGAUUGAAUCAAUUGCUUAUUAGCUUGAAGAGAUCAAUUUUGGUCUUCUGGUUAUAUCUGAUUCUUAGAGACUAGGAUGUGAGCUGAGAAUGUGCGGUGAAUGUUCUUUGGACCUGAAGGUAUGUUGGGCUUGAAGUCUCAGACACUUGUUAGAGUGAAACCUUGAUACCAUUUUUUUGCACCAGAAGGUGAAUUCAUGGCCUUGGUGACCGUGAGAAAGAUGCAGAAGACUGACAAGGAGAAGUUGAGGAGGGAAAAGCUGAAUGAGCAUUUCAUUGAAAUGGGAAAUUUACUAGUUGAUACAGAGGAGAAAAACGACAUGAGAGAAGAGAAGGCGUCGCUGAAGUCAGACAUAGAGAAUCUAAACUUCCAGUACUAGCAGCAGAGGCUAAGGUCUAUGGACCAAAUGAUCGUGAUGGCCACACCAUGAUCCUUCCCGUAUCCAAUGUCCAUGUCUAUGCCUUCCACUGCAUCCAUCUAUGCCGCCAAACCCAUUCUUUGGGAACCACCUACAUGCCGUAUAUGACCACUUGAACAGCAGUCUGGGCAUGUACCACAUAACCCGCGCAGGCAGUGAGCUGUCGAGAAAGCAAAGCUGAGGAUACUUGAGUUGAAGACUCCUGGGUCUAUCUCUGAUAAGGUGAGACCUAAUAACACUAAACAAUCAGUACAGAGUUCUUAUAUUUUUUUGCAGGAUAGAAGUAGAGAAAGUCCAAAGACUGAGCAAUGAGUAACUGCAGCUCCAAAGAAGAGAGUAAACGUUGGUCCGUCCUUCUGGUGGCGUAGCUAGUGGCCAAUAUCCUAACUACGCAGGAGAGAAGACGACAAGGACUGACCAACAACCACUAAACUGCCGAGUUUUAACUGUCGACAUUUACCAUUUAUGAUUUCAUAAAUGGUUAUGUAAGAAAGAAGCCCAUGCUCUCAGGAAGCACGUGUGUUCUUUGUGCGGUGGGUGGUCUCGUCUCGUCUCCUUCACUUCUUCGACACUACUCGCACACUGACACUCCACCUCUUUCUCCGGCAAUGGCGGUGGUUUCCCCCUCUUUCUCUGCCCAAAUCUCCGGCGGCACCGCUUUCUCUGGCCUCCGACGUUCCGAUGCCAGCGUCUCCUUCGUCCACUGUUCCAAUUCGUCUAUCCGGCUCGUCUCUUCUCCGAAUCGCCAGCCUCCGAGAGGCGUCAUGGGCUUUCUUCUGUUCUCCUGCUGGCCAAGUCUUAGAAACUGUUGAUUCGCAAAAAUUUAGUCAGUGAAACUACGAAUUCUCAAAGGAUGAAAGCCUAAUUGUAUUGCGUCUCAGGUCCGUCACCGGUCUGUGAAACCUGAUUAAUCCAAAAAUCAGAUGUUAGUGCUCGGAUUUAGUAAACUCAGAUUAGAAAUUCUGAGUUUGUCCGAGAAAGCAGAAGCAAUACAGAUCUGAUCGAGAGAUGGGAGAAAGGUUUUCUGAAAGAAAUUCUCCCUUAUGUUAUUGGUUCACACUAGUAUUGGCAAUAUACGCAGAUACUUUUAGUUCUGAGAAAAUGGAAACUUUACAGAUACGUAUUCUAGCAUAUAUACACAAAGAGGUUCCGAGUGUGGCUCCAACGUUCUGAAUAUUUGAUGUCAAAGAUACCAAUCAGUCCGAGAUGGCACAUGUCUGAUCGGUAUUGCCAUCGUCUGUCUUCGGUUUCGUCCGUUCCGAGUGUGGUCCGGUUCAGUCCUUGCAGUCAUGGAGUGUCGUCCUCUUCAACAGGGCCAUCAUCGAGGGUGAUUUCUUAUCGGCUAAAGCUUGGGCACAUCACAAUGAUGGUGAAACCGACAUUGCAGUUCAUCCAAGGGACAGACGAGCUGACGAUCCCGGACGUGAGGCUGACGAGGCCAAGGGACGAGAGCAACGGAGUGGCAACGUUCACGUUCGAGCAGCCGUUGGUGUUUGACUGAGAGAAAAAUGCUUUGGCCACAUCGGAAUCAACGAUUUGAUAAUGCUUUUGUUCAUGGCUCCUGUUUUCACUUUUGAAUGAUAUAUACAUGCGAGUUUUUUUA